UACGUAGGUGGCAAGCGUUGUCCGGAUUUACUGGGCGUAAAGAGCGCGCAGGCGGUCGUGCAAGUCGCGUGUGAAAGCCCCCGGCUCAACUGGGGAGGGUCACGCGAUACUGCUCGACUUGAAGGCAGGAGAGGGAAGUGGAACUCCCGGUGUAGUGGUGAAAUGCGUAGAUAUCGGGAGGAACACCAGUGGCGAAGGCGACUUCCUGGCCUGUUCUUGACGCUGAGGCGCGAAAGCUAGGGUAGCAAACGGG
rnacentral:rRNA from 1 species